CCUACGGGGGACAGCAGUGAGGAAUAUUGGUCAAUGGACGAAAGUCUGAACCAGCCAUGCCGCGUGCAGGAUGACGGCCCUAUGAGUUGUAAACUUCUUUUGUAUUAGAGUAAACACCCCUACGUGUAGCGGCUUGAAAGUAUAAUACGAAUAAGGAUCGGCUAACUCCGUGCCAGCAGCCGCGGUAAUACGGAGGAUCCAAGCGUUAUCCGGAUUUAGUGGGUUUAAAGGGUGCGUAGGCGGUUUGAUAAGGUAGAGGUGAAAUACUGGUGCUCAACACCGGAACUGCCUCUGAUACUGGUGAACUAGAGAGGAGUUGCGGUAGGCGGAAUGUAUGGUGUAGCGGUGAAAUGCUUAGAGAUCAUACAGAACACCGAUUGCGAAGGCAGCUUACCAAACUAUAUCUGACGUUGAGGCACGAAAGCGUGGGUAGCAAACAGGAUUAGAUACCCCGGUAGUC
rnacentral:rRNA from 1 species